CCCCGCCGGCGGCGCCCCGCCCCUCCCCUAACCGCCAGACUAGCCUGGUGGGGGGGGGCCGCGCGCGAAGACAUGGGGGAGAAGUUGGAGCUGAGGCUGGAGUCGCCCGUGGGGGCCGAGCCCGCCGUCUACCCGUGGCCGCUGCCGGUCUACGUUGUGACAGAAAUAAAGUUUCCAGAAGUUGUGUUCCUGCAAUAAGAAAUAAAGAUGUGACCUUCCAGUUGUGUAAAGCUCAUGAAUGCUGUGUAAGUGCGUCGGGUGCAAUAAGGAACCUGGAGCUAAAUGGGCUAGUUCUGAGAGAGGGAGACCUAACUACGUUAACAAAGGAAAUCCAUCUCCGUCCUUUGCGAGGGCAGUCCCGAGCUCAUGUUUUAACGGACGUGAAUGCAAAGCGUGGUUCUCACGUGACUUUCUGAAGAGCCCCCGCAGCAGGCCCAGGUACCUUGAGUGGACUAAGUCUCACUUUAUGGCAGUGGCAUCAGAUGGUGGCUACAGAAGGUUGCCGACGUCCCUGUGUGCUCUGACAGGCUCUGCAGACCGGGGGACGAAAGGACCAAGGAACUCUGACCGCCCUCGGGAAUCCCAAGUGACUGGAGGGACACCGCGUCAGGGCCCCAGGCAGUGUCGCCCACUGUUCCAGAGGCGGGCGGAGGCCCGCAGCCUCAUUUCGUCCCGUCCCUUCCAGUAUCUAAAAUUGUUGUCAAGAUGCUGGGUUAACUCAGGCAGGUCUACAAAGGCGUCCCAAGCAGCAAACAUGUCUGUGAUGAAAUAGCCAAUGAAAGAGAUUUGGGAUUUGGGGAUGCUGCAGGUAUUUCUGUCAAAAACUGCCAUCACCACAGGCAAGUCCUGUCGCUUCUCUUCAUCAGUCUGAGAAAAACAUUCGUCUGAGAUACGUGCGGCCCACUCAAUGCACUGCUCCAGGGGUCGGCAGGGACUGGACACAUCAGCACACUUAAUCAGUCAGGGUGUCACCCCAACUCUCCCUCCUCUGGACCUUAGUUCCUCCUGAUUGUCACUCGUUACACUGAAAACAGAUUUCAGGAGUCAGCACAUGCAGCCAUAAUGUGUGCCUAAUUCCACAUCCCAGUCACUGGGACACAAAAUUUUGGUGUCUUAAGUCUGGCUCCCACAUCACCACUCACAUAUGUCAGUUCUUCCUCUACAGCUGAGUCAGUGAGUAAAGACACAUAAACAGAAGUAGAUUAAUACGAACAAGGUUUUAUUGACAUAUAUAUAUAUGUACAUAAAGCUGGGAAAGAGAAAGGCCCAUUGAGGCAAAUGCAUAGGGGGAGAGGAAGCAUCUGAAAACAGCAGUGGGCAUCCUGCCAGUUCCAAGUCUAGGGAAAACUUGGGUCCGCCAAGUUAACAGUCAAGCCAGGGAUGGCACAGAGGAUGAUACAGGCAGCUGUCUUCCAUUCUCCUAACUGGAGCUUCUCAAGUCUGGUGUAGUGCUGAAGUGGGCUCAUAUGCUCCUCACCCUCCAGCACACACACACACACACACACGCACGCACACACA